GUCUGUACUUAGGUGAGGGACACCUCCAUUACCGGUUCCCAUCUUUCCUUUAUUUUACAAUACCAGACCAUUUUGAACGUGGAACAGUUAAGCUGGCGUUAAAAUGUGAGCGUUGAAAGGCGAGGAGCAGUUUCGCAGUUAAAGCAUGGUGCUGUUGGAGCCGUUAUUGUUGUAGGCACGGUAGCUGUUGUUGUGGGGCGAGUUGGUUGUACACCGGCCUGAUUUUGAAUCCAAGAAUAAAAAACAGAUAAGCGCGUAAAAAC